GCCCCCGUAGCUCAGGAGGAUAGAGCGCAGGUUUCCUAAACCUGGCGUCGGCGGUUCGAGUCCGUCCGGGGGUA
rnacentral:tRNA from 1 species